rnacentral:lncRNA from 1 species
GUAACUCAGGAGGCUUAGGAGAAAUGAGAUCCCCAAGUUAUGUGGGAAUUCUGUCUAUAUCCCCUACGAGAUUGUGAUUGAGAGGUGGGACUAACUGCGCCUUACUCACUAUGGGGUUGUGAGUACCUAGAAUUUGCUACAAUGCGUGACACAUACUAUAUGUUCAUUACAAAAUUAUUGACUAAAUGAAUUGUAGAUAAUACUAGACCUGAAAAUUGUUUCUUCUAAUACAGCACUCUACCGUUAUAUUCAACUGGCUCCCAAUUUCCUUGAUAAAAGAUUUUUGAAAUGCACUGGAUUUUUUUCAUUAACCUAUUGCUUACUUGGAAGUGAGAGUUCCUUACAAUCUCGUUAUCUAAAUCCACAAGGCUUCUCUGACAGCAGCAAGCCAUGGCUUUCCACUUUCAGUAAAACUCAUAGGAAAAAAAAAAAAAAAACUUGGUAAGUUUUUUAUCUAAUCAAUUUCAUCAAGCCUCCUGUGCCAGUAGCCAUAAUCACA